AUUGAACGCUGGCGGCAUGCCUUACACAUGCAAGUCGAACGGCAGCGGGGGAGAAGCUUGCUUUUCCUGCCGGCGAGUGGCGAACGGGUGAGUAAUACAUCGGAACGUGCCCUGUAGUGGGGGAUAACUAGUCGAAAGAUUAGCUAAUACCGCAUACGACCUGAGGGUGAAAGUGGGGGAACGCAAGGCCUCAUGCUAUAGGAGCGGCCGAGGUCUGAUUGGCUGGUUGGUGGGGUAAAGGCCUACCAAGGCGCAGCUCAGUAGGUGGUCUGAGAGGACGAUCAGCCACACGGGGACUGAGACACGGGCCAGACUCCUACUGGAGGCAGCAGUGGGGAAUUUUGGACAAUGGGCGAAAGCCUGAUCCAGCAAUGCCGCGUGUGUGAAGAAGGCCUUCGGGUUGUAAAGCACUUUUGUCCGGAAAGAAAUGGCUCUGGUUAAUCCCUGGGGUCGAUGACGGUACCGGAAGAAUAAGGACCGGCUAACUACGUGCCAGCAGCCGCCGCAGUAA
rnacentral:rRNA from 1 species